AGCGCGGACAGCGGACCCAAGAUGGCGACCGAGUUGGAGUACGAGUCCGUGCUGUGUGUGAAGCCAGACGUCAGCGUCUACCGGAUUCCGCCCCGGGCCUCCAACCGCGGUUACAGGGCCUCUGACUGGAAAUUAGACCAGCCUGAUUGGACUGGUCGCCUCCGAAUCACUUCAAAAGGGAAGACUGCCUAUAUCAAACUCGAGGAUAAAGUUUCAGGUAAUCUUUGCGGGUGACCCUCUAACAUUAAGAAUAUUAAUUUGGUGUGCUUUUAUAAGUACCUUCAAUUUGGGGACUGGAAUGGAAAUACUGCUUGUUAAUUGGGGUUCUGGAUUUUGGCUUGCUUUACUCAAAAAAGUCUUUCUCUUAUCUGUCAGGGGAGCUCUUUGCUCAGGCACCAGUAGAACAAUAUCCUGGUAUUGCUGUGGAGACAGUGACAGAUUCUAGCCGCUACUUUGUAAUCCGGAUCCAGGAUGGUACUGGGCGCAGUGCUUUCAUUGGCAUUGGCUUCACAGAUCGGGGAGAUGCCUUCGACUUUAAUGUCUCCUUGCAGGAUCACUUCAAGUGGGUAAAGCAGGAAUCUGAGAUUUCCAAGGAAUCUCAAGAAAUGGAUGCUCGUCCUAAGUUGGAUCUGGGCUUCAAGGAAGGACAAACCAUCAAGUUGAGUAUCGGGAACAUUACAAACAAGAAAGGAGGUGCUUCUAAGCCCAGGACUGCAAGGGGUGGGGGUCUGAGCCUACUCCCACCCCCGCCAGGAGGCAAAGUCACUAUUCCCCCACCAUCCUCCUCAGUUGCCAUCAGCAAUCAUGUCACCCCACCACCCAUUCCGAAAUCUAACCAUGGAGGCAGUGAUGCAGAUAUCCUUUUAGAUUUGGAUUCUCCUGCUCCUGUCACGACACCAGCACCAACUCCAGUUUCUGCAAGCAAUGACUUGUGGGGAGACUUCAGCACUGCAUCCAGCUCUGUUCCAAACCAGGCACCACAGCCAUCCAACUGGGUCCAGUUCUGAAUGGCAUUGGCAGGACAUUAAGGACAGACUUGAGGAAUAAAAAUGACCUUGAGGGCACCAAUCUGUGAGGGAAGUUAGGAACCCAUUUCCUCCCCAGAACCAGAAUGACUGGAAAAUCUUUUUCAUAGCUUCUCCAUCACAUUCAAGCUGGUUUAUGUCACUCCCCUGUGUUGUUACUUGUACAGCCAAGAAAGUAUCUGUUAUCUCCUGCUUAGUACCAAGGUAGGGGACUAGUGGAUCUUAUCAUAGUUUUGGCUGACUAUGCAGGGCUUAAAAGGCCAGCGUCUGUUUGAGGGGGAAUGACCUCUAACAUCUGUAAAAUUUGUCUCAUCUUUUAAAUUCUUUAACUUAUUUCAAAAUCAUCUCAUGACCCUUGUGUGCCUCUUUGUGAAGCCCUAUUUAGCAAUUUCAGGGGAGUCAAAAACCUUGCAACUUCCUUCUCCACUAACCCAGGACUAAAAAUGGACAGGCUCACCUCAGUGUUUACAAAUUCAGAAUUUUGAUAGGGGUAGAUAUGGAGAAAGACCUAUUUCCUGGGUCUCUGCUGUGUAGUCUCCUUCAGGCUUAUUGUACUCAGUGAACAUCCAGUGCUGGGUGCAGCUCCAUCACCCUCUUGUGUGUUUACAUGUCUCUUUCUAUGAUAAGAGGGUUGUGUUGGUGGCACCUCCACUACUCUUUUCUGUUUGUUGAGUGAAUUGUGUAACAUCUUUGAUCAGUGGGUGUCUCUGUAAUGAAGGAGGUUCAAGAGGCUGUGCUUUCCAAGUGAUAGUCUAUAGGAGUGUUUAAUUUCUUGCAGCUCCAUCUGGUUGCUGCAUUUGAAGCAUGGCAUUAAUUUGUAUUUGCCCUGUUCUUUGACCUAAAGUUGAAGGGUUUAGAGUUUUUAACCUGAUCUGUAGAGCAGAGAGGUUGAAAGCACUUAACUCUUGUUUAGUAUCCUCAUUGCCUUGCUGCCUGGGUAUCUGGCCCCUUUCCAUAAACAUUUCUUUUCAGUUCAUGUAGUUCUUUAAUAGAAAGCUGCUGUUAUGUAUAUUGUCAUUUGUGAAGGAAGUUGGAGAGUCACAGCUUUACUGUGACAGGUUUUGCCCAAGGCUUUGAUACCUGUCACCCAGGGUAUCUUAAAAGCAAGUUGUUCUCCCACUACUUUCCUUUCCCUCUGCCCUGCCAUUCCUUUUACAAUGCUGUGAAAAAAGUUCUGCUUCUUAGGUGAAUGGGGUACUUUCUAUUUUGUUUCUAAACGAGCAAUUUUGAGGAUGAAAUGGGAAGAUAUCAUUGCUUCCUUUUUGCACCUAUUGGGUAUGUACACUCUGGCCGAAGGGAGUCCUUAUGUUUAGUUUCAAAAUAUAUUACUUUCCUGGAUUCUCUUCUUCACUUUUUCUGACUUUGGGUCCAUUUUCUUUUCAUUGCCUCCUUUUCCAGGCAGCUCUAUUCUUGCAGAGCCAUAGCAGGACAUAUUAAAAUUCCAAUAGAAAACACUAAAAGGAAAGUCUGUGGAAUCACUAGUGACUAAAUACUGGGAACCUAUUUUCUCAAUCUUCCUCCAUGUUGUGUUCUUUGUAUUCUCGAGAUGAUAAUAUAUUAUGUAUUUGAAUUCCUGAAAAAUGGAAAAUGUUUAAGAUAUAUGUAUAUAAAGCAUAUGC
rnacentral:sRNA from 1 species